AGUAGUGACGAGCGUCUACACUGCCAGAAUUAUACAAGAACACCGUGGAUCUUAUAAUGCAUUUCUGUCAAUAGAUCCACAGAAAUAGUAAACACUGGACCUUUUAAAAGUCUUAUUUUCACUCUGGGCUUUCACUCUGGGCUGGCGUGCACACUACGUGAUAAGGAGCCUUUCCUUAGAGAAACAAGUUCAAGGUUAGCAAAUGUUAAUAGCCUGACCUUUGGAUGUUAUCACAGACAGAGAACCUCCUCAAGGAUAAUGUUUACUACCAUAGCAAACAUUAAAGACUACCAGCUCUCACCAGGGCCGUUAAAUAAGAGAGUUACGACACUCCCAUUGACUUCUGUUGGAACUGUGGAAUGAGGAAGUAACACGUCACGGGGCAGCCGAUGGUUCCAAACACUGAACAGUUCCAGCGCUGAGCCCUGUUCAUUUCAGUGUUUCUGAAGUACGCUGCCUGGAGGACGGAGAGUGGAGCGACGACCAGGCUGAUGGAGCUUGCAGAAAUGUCUGUCCGCCAACCAGGACACACUGUGGGACAUCUGGCAUGAAAUAUAGCCUCCUGUCUGGUCUUUGCAGGAUGUGAAAAUUAAAAAAGUGUUUCUUUGAAGACAUCACAUUCAAGGAAAACUUACCUACCUGGAUAUAAAAUAUAAUAAAAUAUAUUGCUGAAUGCAAUUA